AGUAUUUUUCAUAUGAUUUUCCCGUCGUCAACCCUUAGCCAAUAGGAGCUAAGCAAAACCCGAGUGUCGUUCGUCGACUCUCGGAAUCAUUCGGUUCGGCAUGGCUCGUCGGCCAUCGAGCGUCGGGAGUCGAAACGGAUGUCAUCAUUCAUAACCUGCCAAGUGUCAACAGUUUUUACACUAUUGCAUUAUUAAUUAUCAAUGAUAACUCCUUGAGUCCUCUACUUUUUCAUGUAUUUGGCGUAAUUUGUUUACUUUUUUAUCGUUGAACCACGUUGAGCAGGCAGUGAGAGGCAGUUAGAUGCUAAUUUUGUGCGUUGAAUUUUACACUUAUUACACGAAUUAAAAUGUUAUUUCUUCGGAAACUAUGUAAAGAUAAACGUCCUGUUGGAGAUAUUAAUGAAAGACGAACUAUUCGAGCGGAAAGGAAAAAAGAAUUAUGUAAAAAUCAGAAGUAUAUAAUAUUUGCAAAAAACAGGAAUGAAUUAACUUCAUCGGCAUCACAGACCUUGGAAAUAAAGACAUCCGAUCCAGUAAAAACAUGUGCAAAAGGGCUCUUACAAUCGAAAAUUAAACACGAGGAACGUAAACGAAUAGAACAAAUGAAGAAAAGGCCUGCGUUUGUUGCUGGUCCAGUAAACCAUAAGUUAUAUUCGCGAGUAAGCAAGGCGAAGAUAUUCCAAAAGUUGAAAAACCACCUAUGUCUCCGAAAGGUGUUACAAAAGCCACCCUCAAAAGAUUGGCAUUGAAAGCUCAACAAGAAAGUAAAAAGAAAGAGAAGCAUUCCUUUGCUCCAGCUAAUUAUAAAUUUAAGGUUCCAGCAGGAUUGGAGCAAGAGCUUUUAUUUGAACGAGUUGACCCACAUAGUAUGGGACCCAGUGUAGCAAGUAAAUUUGUGCUCCCAUCUUCGAGAUUAAGGACUUUAAGUGAAACUUAUACAAUAAAUGUAUCAUCCAAUGAAGAUAUAAAUGACACAAAUGAAGCUAUCAUAUCUGAUAAAGAUAGUAAUGAGAAAAAAAAAGAGAAGAAUCAUGAAUCACUUAAUAAUAAUAUUACAGAACCAAGUAAACAAUUUAAUAAUAAUAUUCCAGUUGACAAAGAAACACAAACAAAAACGAGUUUAGCCGCAGCAUUGCCUAGAAUAAAUAGUAUCAACUUUGAUCAUCCUGAAGAUAUGUUUAAUGUUAACGAUUCUCCAUGUAAAAUCGACAUGAAAGUAGAAGCUCUGACACCAUUACAAGGAAUGCAAUUAAGUAAUAAUUCAUAUAAAAAAAAAACGGAAAAAGCAAAUUCCUAUAAACAUUGGAGAGGAAACAGAUAGGUCAAAUGAAAAUGUUAGAGUUCUGAGAAAUAGAUGUAUAACCGUAGUCGACACACACACACACACCCACGCCAAAAAAUAUACCUAGAAGGUCUCCAAGGUUAUUGGAAAAAAAUAAAAGUCCUAUAAAAAAAUAAUAUGAAAAUGAACCUGUCUGAAAAAAGUCUUAAAGUUAAAUUUUUUGAGCAAGUUUAAAGUAUUUAUUUUAUAAUUAAUAAACCAAUCUAUCCCGUGACUCCUUAGACGAAGUAGAGUAGGGUCUGGUAAAAAGGACAAGGAAUACAUGUCCGCAAAACGCCAUAGAAAGGUCUCUGUACCUCCAGGAGCCGCAGAAUUGUUUGCUGUCGCUAAGCCUGGGCACAGUUCUUCCGGCGGCGGUGUACGUGGUCUCAGUUCGCCGUGUUCUCCUUCAUACUUACAUUCAGCUUGAGCCUUGAGAU